GGGAAAGUUAAGUGAAUUUGAACGAAAAAAUCGGCCAAGUUGUUCCGCGAGCGAGUUUAGAAGCAGCCGCGUAAGUGGCAAUUUGAAAUUGGCGGAAAGUUACGACAGGCGUGUCAACGAAAUGGGAUGUCGAUACGAAUUUUGAAACGGUGUAUCGAACUACCAAUGGCUGCGUUCGAUGGGUGAUGCGAUUUCCAUUUCCACAAGUUGAGUUGGGCAGCCAGUCAUCGGGAUUAUUACGCGUAUCGCGAUUAACUUUAUCGAAGAAUCGUUAUUCCGGAUUUCACCGGAUUUCAAGAAAUUGGAUUUACCUUGCGGGAGAGGGAAGUUUCUC